UAGAGGAUCAGUAGGUUAAUAUAUUAAUGAAUAUAAAUUGUGAAUAAAUAUACUGUGAAUCUAUUACAUUAAUUAUUACAUGGGCAAAGUAAAGCAAUAGUGAAGAUGAAGAGAGGAAUACUGAAAGUUUCCUAGAACACAAAAUUGCUUCAAAAUAUUCAGUGCUAGAGAGGAGUGGAAGUUCAUUAGGUCUUUAAAAAAAGAAAAGUCAAAAAAAAAAAAAAAGGAAAAGAACAAGUUUCCAGCUUUGAUAAACUGUUGUUGUAUGCCCAUUGUCACGUACAAUAGUAGCAGCAAUUUGAGUUACUCAUGCAUUUCACUGCCUUCCAAUUUCACUGUAUGAAUUGUGGUUGUCAUUGUGGGGAUCUCAAUGGCAUCCUUGCUCGCUCAUUCUGCAAAGAUAAACCAACAGCAGAUGGAAAGUUAAGUGCAGGACACAAAAUGUAAGGGAGCUAUGCCAUUAUACAUAUACUCUAUAUGUCUAAGGCAAUCUUACUUCCAUCUCUUUCUCCUUAGCAAGAACAAACAAGCUGUCCAACAGCAGCUUUUGGUAAUCACCAUUUUCCAGAUUUCAAGCACAAUCUAUACUUCUUCAUCUGGAGUUUCAGAAAACCGGAAUCACACAAGUGUAAGAAUUCUGACAAAGCUGUAGUUCAGCAUUUUGGCAAGUGCAACGAAAAGAACUGUGUAUAUGUAAGAGACACUUCAGUCUCAUGAGAAGCAGUCCUUGCAGGAUUUCCUGGACAGGAUCAAGAACCACUGGAAAUAUUCAGAGAUUUUACUGGAAAUCGCUUGAGAACAGACUGUCUGACAGGCUCUGUUUUGAGUCAACUUUGGAUUGAAACUGAACUUUAGCGUGAGUAUGUGAACAGGUCUAUUAUCUCUAUUCACACUUCACAAUCAGUUAAACAGUUUCAUUAAAUACUGUGAUGCAGAAAAUCACAUUCUGGUCCUAAGAAAUAUGGGUCAUACAGCUAGUCCUUGCUCAGGCAAAUAGUUCCACUGAGUUUAAUUUUCAGGACAGCCCUUCUGUCAGUGCUAUGAAACAGUGAAGCAAAUAAAAGGUCUACACAUUUUUAGUAAAUCA
rnacentral:lncRNA from 1 species